GAUGAACGCUGGCGGCGUGCCUAAUACAUGCAAGUCGAGCGAACAGACGAGGAGCUUGCUCCUCUGACGUUAGCGGCGGACGGGUGAGUAACACGUGGAUAACCUACCUAUAAGACUGGGAUAACUUCGGGAAACCGGAGCUAAUACCGGAUAAUAUAUUGAACCGCAUGGUUCAAUAGUGAAAGACGGUUUUCCUGUCACUUAUAGAUGGAUCCGCGCCGCAUUAGCUAGUUGGUAAGGUAACGGCUUACCAAGGCAACGAUGCGUAGCCGACCUGAGAGGGUGAUCGGCCACACUGGAACUGAGACACGGUCCAGACUCCUACGGGAGGCAGCAGUAGGGAAUCUUCCGCAAUGGGCGAAAGCCUGACGGAGCAACGCCGCGUGAGUGAUGAAGGUCUUCGGAUCGUAAAACUCUGUUAUUAGGGAAGAACAAAUGUGUAAGUAACUAUGCACGUCUUGACGGUACCCAAUCAGAAAGCCACGGCUAACUACGUG
rnacentral:rRNA from 1 species